rnacentral:sRNA from 1 species
GGAUGAGAGGGUGAUCUGACUGGGACAGCUGUCAUCCAUCAUCCCAUUGACCUUGAGGUUAAUUCACCUGAUCUGGCUGGCUGACCAAGGGUCAUCUCUAUCUGCCCUCACUAUGCUAUGGGCAUCCCCUUUGAAACUCCUUGAAUGAUAAUAAAAAAGAUGAAGAAGAAGAAGAGAGCUCUUCUUUCAUCAAGAAUGACUAUUCAUUCUUUCAACAAAUGUUUAUUGAACUUUUAUAUAUUGAGCAUUGCCUAUGAUAU